rnacentral:misc_RNA from 1 species
GCUGCAUUUACUAUCCUACAGAAAUUACUGCAAUAUAUUAUGAAGCUGCUUUUAUUUUGUCCUUCAUCCAUUCCAGUGUGAGAGAGAAUCAGUAUCUGAGUGCAAUUCUCCCAGUUCUCAUGCCAUGAAGGUAGUUCCAUGAUCUUCCAUGGACUAUUUUUUUCCCCGCCCAUACAUCUUCAUGAAUCAUCUGGAGUUCAGAUCAAACUCCCCAACUUCUCGCCAUUCACCCAGGGCACCAGUGUCCCCAUUCUCAUUCUCCUCAUCGUUCAAGAAAUCUUCAGAUGGUUCCUUCUCAUCUUUCUGUGCAUUGUUUCCCCAGCCAUUCAUC